GUAUACUCCAAGCACCCCGGUGUAUUUGUUCACGUUCCAAAUCUUCAAGAGGCUGAAAUUACAUUACACGAACAUAAUAAUUAUGAUUAGUUCAAAUUAAA